ensembl:snRNA U6 U6 spliceosomal RNA
GUGCUCACUUUGGCAGCACAUACAGUAAAAUUGGAACAAUACGGAGAAGAUAAGCAUGUCCCCUGUGUAAAGAUGACACGCAAAAUCAUGAAGUGUUCAUAUUUUUG